AGGUGAGAGGAUCCCUUGAGCCCAGGAGGUGGAGGUUGCAGUGAGCUGAGAUCACGCCACUGCACUCCAGCCUGGGCAACAGAGUGAGACCCUGUCUC
ensembl:miRNA